UUGAGGAAAGGCAGAAACCGUGCCGUUUUGGAGUGAGACAGCAAAACCACUUCGGAAAAUCCCUGACUGAACGAGGGUGAGGCGUUGCGUAAAUGGUGAAGUUCAACGGACGGGAGCAGUAACGUGUACUUACUGAGCGCCUCCCUGAGGUCCAACACCACCUUGCGCACUUGGGUACAAAGAAAUAGGACCGCUCUCUGGUUUACGAAGGGGUUUGUAAUCUUGUAGUGAAGCCAAAAUAAACAAAUACCAAAACUGUCA